CAUAGAGAUUUUCACAUAUACACAUGUAUGCGCACAAUGACGUGGGCUCAUCAGACCCAGAGAGGUAAGGCCCAGGACACACGUGUGCAAACACAGCUCUGUCAACUACAUCAGAUGCAUGCAUAAGCACUCUCACACAAACACCCCUGUUGCAAACCAAGAUCUACACUUAGAGACUGCACUACAGCAAAACACGUGCUCAUGCACACACACACACACACACACACCUGCGUGCACACCCACGGGCGCCCACCACCUGCCUCCCAGAGGCUCCAUCUGCAGCCGAGAGGCUCGGCAUCUCCCCGGGGAACAUCCUGAGAUGUAGCCUAUUUUUAGAGCUAUUGCCGGCUGGUGCUUCUCCUCGUUUUUGGCUUCUUAAGUUUUCCAGAGAAAACAGCAGCAGGUGCCGACAGAGCUGUGUCCCCGAUGGAUGACUCAGAAUCGUGGCCCAGACCCACUGGGUUAUUUUUGAAGUCCUGUGAGCAUGCAGCAUGCUGGCACCUCUAUACUCUGUCCUUCCCUCCUGCAUUGCCCCUAGAAUGAAUGGCCCGGGUCUGGCUGGGCGAGGGGUAGCAGCCUGAGGGUGGCAGGCCCAUAAGACAGGCUCUACAGAAUACUGGAUGCUCAGAGCUGGGGGCAGGAAGGCUGGAGUCAGGGGACUCUGACUCCGGGGGAAGCUCCCAGAAGCUGGCUCUGGGAAGGUGAUCUUUUAUGGUUUUGUUAACUUGCCCGUUCUCUGGCUCUCUCUCUCCAUCUCUGCUGGUCUCUGUUGCCUUUUUCUGAAUGUCUCUUUCUAGUUUUUGCAUGCCCAGAUCUGGUGUUCUCCUCUCCAAAAUAUUCUCCUAUGUCCUCAGGGUUCCAGAAGGAGCCAGAGACCUACAGCAUCUCCUUAACUCUCUCUGGACCACUGCAACCUCUUAACUCCUGGACUAUAGCCCAGGACCUUCACCCGCCUUCACAGAGUGACUGGUUGACCCCAGAGAAGUGGGGGUGGGAAGUGUUUCUCUCACGGGCACUUUCCUUUAUGCCCACACCCACCUGCCCAGGGUUUCCUCUUGGCAGCCUGAAUCUUGUGUCCCAUUGUUCACCUGAGGAAAAGGGAAACUGAAGCAGAAUGGAGGUGCUAUAUUUCUGGUCUGCCCAGAAGGCUGGUGUGGGCCAGGGGCUUCCAAGCUUCACUCCAGGACGGGCUCAGAUACCUUGCUGCAGGCACCCAGACAUCCUUCUUUCAGCAAUUUUAUCAGCAUGCUGGAGUGCUGGGAACUCAGGUGAGAGGAGCCGAUGAACCUUGCCAUCUCAGGUGAAGCCCCAGUUGCCCUGGCAGCCCACUCAGGUCAACUUGCAAAAGCCUGUGCUCCCAUUCAGGCACCUCUUGUCUCCAUUACAUGCUGUCUUUAAGCCAAAUUUAUUUCAUUGCUCUGGAGUUUAUUCUUUGGUCUUGCUGCCAUCAGUGGCUUCUAGAUUU